AUUACAACUGCUUUGGACAUCCCCUCCCCCCCUGGCAUCUGAUUACCAACCCCCCAAACAUCCUCCAGAGCCAGAUUAGCCACGCCCCUAUUCUUCUUCCCAAGCUAAGAACUGGUAUAUAGUCAGUAUUUGCACUCCCCCUGCUCUACUGUCCCCGCCUACCCACAUACCUAUCUGUUCCUGUGUUUCAAACUCUUGUAUUUCUGUACUACCCCUCCCCCUAAUCAAUGAUCAAUGGUAUCAGAUGGUAUAUUGGUUUUUUUUUAGUUACUGGAUGGGCCCCUCCCAGCUUUGUCCAAAAUGUCCCCUUUUUACUAAACUACAAACUGAAAUGUUUAAUUUACCUUAGAACUAAAGAUUUAAUCAAGCCUAGCUAGCAGGGUGGACAUUGAUUAAAAUAAGUAAUAAUAAAAUAGGACAUAAUUAAUUAAAGUCUAUUUGUUUCAUUUGACUUUAGGGAGGCACUCUAAGCCACCUACUGGCCAUCUUCGGGAGUUACAUUGAUAAUACAUUGUUUAUAAC